rnacentral:rRNA from 1 species
UUGCAGUUAGAACGCUCGUAGUCGGAUUUCGGGGCGGGCCGACCGGUCUGCCGAUGGGUAUGCACUGGUCGGCGCGUCCUUCCUUCCGGAGACCGUGCCUACUCUUAACUGAGCGGGGGCGGGAGACGGAAUUUUUACUUUGAAAAAAUCAGGGUGUUUCAAGCAGGCAGCUCGCUCUUGCAUGGAUUAGCAUGGGAUAAUGAAAUAGGACUUUGGUGCUAUUUUGUUGGUUUCGAACACCGAAGUAAUGAUGAGAAGGGACAGUCAGGGGCACUCGUAUUCCGCCGAGAGAGGUGAAAUUCUCAGACCAGCGGAAGACGAACCACUGCGAAAGCAUUUGCCAGGGAUGUUUUCACUGAUCAAGAACGAAAGUUAGGGGAUCGAAGACGAUCAGAUACCGUCGUAGUCUUAACCAUAAACCAUGCCGACUAGGGAUUGGAGGAUGUUCUAUCUUGACUCCUUCAGCACCUUACGGGAAACUAAAGUCUUUGGGUUCCGGGGGGAGUAUGGUCGCAAGGCUGAAACUUAAAGGAAUUGACGGAAGGGCACCACCAGGUGUGGAGCCUGCG